rnacentral:rRNA from 1 species
AACGAACGCUGGCGGCAUGCCUAACACAUGCAAGUCGAACGAGACCUUCGGGCCUAGUGGCGCACGGGCGCGUAACGCGUGGGAACCUGCCUUUAGGUUCGGAAUAACUCAGAGAAAUUUGAGCUAAUACCGGAUGAUGUCUUCGGACCAAAGAUUUAUCGCCUUUAGAUGGGCCCGCGUUGGAUUAGCUAGUUGGUGGGGUAAAGGCCUACCAAGGCGACGAUCCAUAGCUGGUCUGAGAGGAUGAUCAGCCACACUGGGACUGAGACACGGCCCAGACUCCUACGGGAGGCAGCAGUGGGGAAUAUUGGACAAUGGGCGAAAGCCUGAUCCAGCAAUGCCGCGUGAGUGAUGAAGGCCUUAGGGUUGUAAAGCUCUUUUACCCGAGAUGAUAAUGACAGUAUCGGGAGAAUAAGCUCCGGCUAACUCCGUG